CAGGAAAUGGCAAAUGUGCUGAUCUGUUUAAUGAAGUUGAGAUUCACUGGAGGAGUCCAAAUUUCUUUUCCUUUUGCCAUCUGUAGAACUGAAUGUCUUAUGAAGAUAAAAUCUCAAUAAAGAAAUUAGCAGGUCUCUGACUACAAGAAAGCCAGGAUUUCACCCACCUGGAUUCUGAAGUUGAUGAUGACCAUGUGCUUCUUCAGGAGGUCGUGGAGUGGCUACAAGUGCUUGACCUUAAUCGGAAAAGGAGCCUGUGGGCAUCCUCAUUGGAAACGAUGACACCUGGAGCGUUACCAGGUGGGUGGGGAUUUCCAAAGGCACAUUCAGG